UACGGAGGGGGCUAGCGUUGUUCGGAAUUACUGGGCGUAAAGCGCACGUAGGCGGCUUUGUAAGUUAGAGGUGAAAGCCCUGGGCUCAACCUGGGGACUGCGCUUGAGACGGUAUGGCUUGAGGGUGGAAGAGGCUCGCGGAAUUCCCAGUGUAGAGGUGAAAUUCGAUAGAUAUUGGGAAGAACACCGGUGGCGAAGGCGGCGAGCUGGUCCAUCACUGACGCUGAGACGCGAAAGCGUGGGGAGCGAACAGG
rnacentral:rRNA from 1 species